rnacentral:rRNA from 1 species
UACGAGGGGUGCAAGCGUUGCUCGGAAUUAUUGGGCGUAAAGGGUAGGUAGGUGGUCUCGUUUGUCUGGGGUGAAAGCCUUGGGCUUAACUCAAGAAGUGCCCCAGAAACGGCGAGACUAGAGUAUUGGAGAGGGUCGUGGAAUUCCAGGUGUAGCGGUGAAAUGCGUAGAGAUGUGGAGGAACACCGAUGGCGAAGGCAGCCCCCUGGGCUAACACUGACGCUCAUGCACGAAAGCGUGGGGAGCAAACAGG